AAGCACAAAGGCUUGGUCCUGACUUUACUGUCAGCUUUGGCUAAACUUACACAUGCAAGUCUCCGCCCCCCUGUGAGAAUGCCCACAGUUUUCUGCCCGAAAACAAGGAGCCGGUAUCAGGCACAACCCCACAGCCCAUGACACCUUGCUUAGCCACACCCUCAAGGGAACUCAGCAGUGAUAGACAUUAAGCCAUGAGUGAAAACUUGACUUAGUUAAAGCCAAGAGAGCCGGUAAAACUCGUGCCAGCCACCGCGGUUAUACGAGAGGCUCAAGUUGAUAGACAUCGGCGUAAAGAGUGGUUAGGAAGUCUUUUAAACUAAAGCCGAAUACCCUCAGAACUGUUAUACGUACCCGAGGGAAAGAAGCCCCACUACGAAAGUGGCUUUAUAUCUCCGACCCCACGAAAGCUGCGAAACAAACUGGGAUUAGAUACCCCACUAUGCCCAGCCCUAAACUUUGAUAGCCCACUACACCCGCUAUCCGCCCGGGUACUACGAGCACUAGCUUAAAACCCAAAGGACUUGGCGGUGCUUUAGAUCCACCUAGAGGAGCCUGUUCUAGAACCGAUAACCCCCGUUAAACCUCACCCUCUCUUGUUCUUCCCGCCUAUAUACCGCCGUCGUCAGCUUACCCUGUGAAGGAACCACAGUAAGCAGAACUAGUACAACUCAAAACGCCAGGUCGAGGUGUAGCAUAUGAGAGGGGAAGAAAUGGGCUACAUUCCCUACUACAGGGAACACGAACAAUGUAAUGAAAUAUGCAUUAGAAGGAGGAUUUAGCAGUAAGCAGAAAUUAGAGCGUUCCGCUGAAACCGGCCCUGAAGCGCGCACACACCGCCCGUCACUCUCCCCAAGCCAACCAGCACCCUAUAAAUAAUACAUUUCACCGGUAAAGGGGAGGCAAGUCGUAACAUGGUAAGUGUACCGGAAGGUGCACUUGGAAAAAUCAGAGU
rfam:Oreochromis niloticus mitochondrion, complete genome.